rnacentral:rRNA from 1 species
AACGAACGCUGGCGGCAUGCCUAACACAUGCAAGUCGAACGAGACCUUCGGGUCUAGUGGCGCACGGGUGCGUAACGCGUGGGAACCUGCCCUUAGGUUCGGAAUAACUCCCCGAAAGGGGUGCUAAUACCGGCUAAUGUCUUCGGACCAAGGAUUUAUCGCCUUUGGAUGGGCCCGCGUUGGAUUAGCUAGUUGGUAGGGUAAAAGCCUACCAAGGCGACGAUCCAUAGCUGGUCUGAGAGGAUGAUCAGCCACACUGGGACUGAGACACGGCCCAGACUCCUACGGGAGGCAGCAGUGGGGAAUAUUGGACAAUGGGCGAAAGCCUGAUCCAGCAAUGCCGCGUGAGUGAUGAAGGCCUUAGGGUUGUAAAGCUCUUUUACCCGGGAUGAUAAUGACAGUACCGGGAGAAUAAGCUCCGGCUAACUCCGUG